AGUGGCAGAGCAUUCGACUGCAGAUCGAGAGGUCCCCGGUUCAGAUCCGGGUGCUACUU
rfam:Toxocara canis C1664400, whole genome shotgun sequence.